rnacentral:rRNA from 1 species
CAGCAGCCACGGGAAUACAGAGGGUGCAAGCGUUAAUCGGAAUUACUGGGCGUAAAGCGCGCGUAGGUGGUUUGUUAAGUUGGAUGUGAAAGCCCCGGGCUCAACCUGGGAACUGCAUCCAAAACUGGCAAGCUAGAGUACGGUAGAGGGUGGUGGAAUUUCCUGUGUAGCGGUGAAAUGCGUAGAUAUAGGAAGGAACACCAGUGGCGAAGGCGACCACCUGGACUGAUACUGACACUGAGGUGCGAAAGCAUGGGGAGCAAACAGGAUUAGAUACCCGAGUAGUCCCUGUCUCUUAUAC